rnacentral:tRNA from 1 species
GGGCUUGUGGCGCAGUGGUAGCGCGCCUGCUUUGCAAGCAGGAGGCCGAGGGUUCGAAUCCCUCCAAGUCCAC